CCCUUAGAUGUUCUGGGCUGCACGCGUGCUACAAUGGCGUUUCCAGCAAGUCUGCGAACCCGAGAGGGCCAGCGGAUCUUCGAAUUGGCGUCGUGAUCGGGACAGUCGAUUGCAAUUAUUUGACUCAAACGAGGAAUUCCUUGUAAUCGCGACUCAUCAUAUCGCGCUGAAUACGUCCCUGCCCUUUGUACACACCGCCCGUCGCUCCUACCGAUUGAGCGAUCCGGUAAAUGUUUUGGAUUGGUGCCGGGGCGGCUAGCUGCCGGUCGCUACGAAAUUUUGUGAACCUUAUCGCUUAGAGGAAGGAAAAGUCGUAACA
rnacentral:rRNA from 1 species